AGCAGAGUAGGCAAGUCGCGUUAAGUGUUGCGGAAUGGAAUGUUGUCCGCAAACGAAAGGGGAUUCUCUGCGGUGGCUUGCCGCAUUCGUUGCU
rfam:Faecalibacterium sp. CAG:1138 genomic scaffold, scf21